UACGUAGGGUGCGAGCGUUAAUCGGAAUUACUGGGCGUAAAGCGUGCGCAGGCGGUUCUCCAAGUCCGUUGUGAAAGCCCCGGGCUCAACCUGGGAAUGGCGAUGGAUACUGGCGAGCUAGAGUGCGGUAGAGGAGAGUGGAAUUCCCGGUGUAGCAGUGAAAUGCGUAGAGAUCGGGAGGAACAUCAGUUGCGAAGGCGGCUCUCUGGACCAGCACUGACACUGAGGCACGAAAGCGUGGGGAGCAAACAGG
rnacentral:rRNA from 1 species